UAUCGGAACGUGCCCAGUCGUGGGGGAUAACGCAGCGAAAGCUGUGCUAAUACCGCAUACGAUCUACGGAUGAAAGCGGGGGACUCGUAAGGGCCUCGCGCGAUUGGAGCGGCCGAUAUCAGAUUAGCUAGUUGGCGGGGUAAAAGCCCACCAAGGCGACGAUCUGUAGCUGGUCUGAGAGGACGACCAGCCACACUGGAACUGAGACACGGUCCAG
rnacentral:rRNA from 1 species